rnacentral:lncRNA from 1 species
CGCUGAUCUACGUAAACAAACUGAAGAAUUGUCUGAAAGAAAAUAUGACAUGAACUUAUGAAUUCAACAGGUGAAGAUUUACAACUUGAUAAAUCAACUUUGUGAGCUCGAGCUGUAAAAGCCAAAGGUCUGGUGAUGAUCCCAUACCCUUUUUUCCAGUCUCAUGUUGAAGAUUUUUAUGUAGAAGGCCUUCCCAAAGGAAUUUUUUUUUUUUUUUUUUUUGAGAUGGAGUUUUCACUCUUAUCGCCCAGGCUGGGGUGCAAUGGCACAACCUUGCUGGUCACUGCAACCUCUGCCUCCUGGGUUCAAGAAAUUCUCCUGCCUUAGCCUCCCAAGUUGCUGGGAUUACAGGUGCCCACCACCACAGCAGGCUAAUUUUUGUAUUUUUAGUGGAGAUGGGGUUUCACCAUGUUGGCCGGGCCAGUCUCGAACUCCUGACGUCAAGUGAUCUUCCCGCCUCGACUCCUGACAUCAAGUGAUCUUCCCGCCUCAGCCUCCCAGAGUGCUGAGAUUACAGACGUGAACCCAUGCCUGGCCAGGAAUUUUGUUUUUUAGGAAGGAUUUCUACUAAUGGAAUUCCUGGCCUUGAGAGGAUGUUACUUUCGAAGGAAAGGAUUUUUUUUGUUAUUAAAAGGUAAGAUGCCUGGAUUCUUAUUGGAUUGUUAUCUCUGUUAUGAGUAAUCCAUCUUU